rnacentral:lncRNA from 12 species
AGUCCCGCCUUCAUAGCACUACAAACUUAACUGAACUGGGGAAAGAGGAAAAUGGAACACCCCCCAGCAAGGAUCCCCUGGCUGUGAAUGGAGAAAAAAGAUCGACUGAAUGUUGUGAAAAAAUUGAUUUGUGGAGUCUCAUGAGAGAAGAGGUUGCUGCACAGAGGUGAGGAGACAUUAUCUUUUGACCUUAUGGUAUUGAAAGGUGGAGCUUGUGAGAACCAGGAGCUUCUUGUUAAAUGGACUGACUGUAAGUUUUCUGAAUUCCUUUAAGACAGAGGAGGAGGACUUUUAUAUGAAGAACAGAAGG